UUUUAUCCUUACCUCCUUGAGGCUGACCUUGUUGCUGCUCUAUCUGGCUAGAACAGCAGCCAGGCUAAUGCAUCUUUGUAGCCCAGCACCCAGAACAGCAUCUGACACAUGCUGGCUACUCACUUAGGGUUUGUUGACUGACUAAAUAAAUGAGCCAUCAAGAUCAGUCCGUAAGGCAAUCUAAGAACCUUGAUUUUUCAUCCCCCAGGGUAAACUGAAAAUGCAUCUACCUAAACUGCAGCGGAACUUGAUAUGUUCAAGGGACAUUGUCUUUUGAUCAACUCUCUCUCCCACAUCCACUGUCCAUGCCUGUCACUGGCCACUGCUGCAGAUACUCACUUGGGCGGUGGGGGUAUAUGGGAGGGGUUGGCUGGGUUGGUGACACUCUGAGCUCAUGCCCAAGUUUUGGCGCUUCAGGCUGAUAGAGGGCAAGAAGGAGACGUCUGCACAGGAGCGCAUGCGCUCAGCGGAGGGGAGGGGCCGCCGCGCGGAGCCCUGCUCAGUCGGCUUUCAUUUUCCUUCCACCAGCACCACUUUCAGAGGAUGAUGUCAUUGGACAACGACUCCAUAAUACAUGCCAGUUAUAGUAGCAUCCCCACAGAUCCAAGCUUAACUGUUCUCAAACUGUCAAUCAAGCAACGUACAGGAGGGGGAAAAAAGGAACAACCUUCAUCAGCCAAACUUCUUCUUUGAAGUUUAAACGAAAAAAGAUCCCUGGUUGAAGGGGUUGGCCUCUCUUCAGCAGUAAAGGACAACUUCAUAGAGAUGCAUAUGUUCCCAGGGGAAAAAUGCAUUCAUUUUUCAUCACCAUAUAAACUUCUGGGUAUAUUUGUAUAGAUGAUGGACUAUGGACUUCUGGAGCAAGAUGGGGAGCGUCAGAAACCUAACUCCACGAUUUGCUGGGUUCUCCCAAACUGUAACUGGAACCUCGCUCCCAGGCCGAUGCCCCUCUUGCCUCUGCAGCUCUGGGGUCUAGGGAGGAAGGAGCCACAGAGGGUUCGGACAACAACACUGACUGAUCCCAGAGCAGGACUUCAUUCUGUUAACCUGACAAAGUGCACAAGCUGCGCUGACAUGUUUUUCCUCCACUUUCUAUGCUAAUUUAUCAAACUGGAAGAAAGAACAUCAAAUAAAAAUCCACAGCUGCAAUUAACUCAAGACCUAACAUGCACCUGGAUAAGGGGACUCACAAGACUUCCGGUAUCUACAAGGUUUUAAAUGGCAAGGUUUUCUAACUUUGUGUCUUGGGUUAUUGGUCAUCAAUGUUUCCAAAAAUAAUCACUCCUUUCCGUUACAUUUUCUGAUCAAUUAUUUAAUGAGGUCUGGGUUAUAUGACAUCAAUUUCACCCUG
rnacentral:lncRNA from 1 species